CCGGAACUGUAAACAUUAUCAGUAUUUUCGUCAUUUCACAGCUUUCUACCUGUAAUCUUGGUUAUUGAACACGGCCAUAGAGAUAGUACGGCUCUAUAUAC